ensembl:lncRNA
GCAGAAUCAAGGAGGACUUCUAGAACAGUAUCGACUGACCUGUAAUAGGAACCCUUUUGUAUCUAACUGGCUUCAGUCUGUUGGGUAACAAACUUUAUUCUUGGUCUGAUGGGGAUGGUGUGCAGCGAAAGUGUAUGUGGCCCUGACUGCAAAAGUACCACUAACUAUUGCCAGCCAGACUUCAAACAUGUGUCGGAACUCCGGCACUCUUCAAUUGCACCCUGGAAUUUUGAUGAGGAUAAGAUAAACGGCCGGGAGCCCGCAAUAAUCCAGUAUGCUCAUUGCAAUAGUUGUAAUGUGAAGGACAUGAUCGCUAAACCUAUCAUCCUCCAGGUUUCGGUCUACCGCCACGUGCGCGUAAACGACACCAGUUACACGUGGUGCAAGUGUCCCUUCAAUUUGGCUGUUGGGUGUACAUGUGUCAGCAAUAAAUGAAAAUGACCACAGGACAUCAGGACAAGUCAUGGCUGCAGCUGCAAUAGUC